CUCCCGCGCCGGGAGUCGAACCCGGGCCGCCUGGGUACCCGGGCCGCCUGGGUGAAAGCCAGGAAUCCUAACCGCUAGACCACGCGGGA
rnacentral:tRNA from 11 species